rnacentral:rRNA from 1 species
UACGGAGGGUGCAAGCGUUAUCCGGAUUCACUGGGUUUAAAGGGUGUGUAGGCGGGCAGUUAAGUCAGUGGUGAAAUCUCCGGGCUCAACCCGGAAACUGCCAUUGAUACUAUCUGUCUUGAAUUUUGUUGAGGUAGGCGGAAUAUGUCAUGUAGCGGUGAAAUGCUUAGAUAUCGUCAAGAACACCGAUAGCGAAGGCAGCUUGCUAGGCUGUAACUGACGCUGAGGCACGAAAGUGUGGGGAUCAAACAGG